GAGGAAUAUUGCGCAAUGGAGGAAACUCUGACGCAGCCAUGCCGCGUGCAGGAAGACGGCCCUACGGGUUGUAAACUGCUUUUAUCCGGGAAGAAACCCCAGGACGUGUCCUGGGUUGACGGUACCGGAGGAAUAAGCACCGGCUAACUCCGUGCCAGCAGCCGCGGUAAUACGGAGGGUGCAAGCGUUAUCCGGAUUCAUUGGGUUUAAAGGGUGCGUAGGCGGGGUGGUAAGUCAGUGGUGAAAUCCUGCAGCUUAACUGUAGAAUUGCCAUUGAUACUGCCAUUCUUGAGUGCGCUUGAAGUGGGCGGAAUGUGCCGUGUAGCGGUGAAAUGCUUAGAUAUGGCACAGAACACCAAUUGCGAAGGCAGCUCACUAAGGCGAUACUGACGCUGAGGCACGAAAGCGUGGGGAUCGAAC
rnacentral:rRNA from 1 species